rnacentral:lncRNA from 1 species
CACAACACUUGCCGGUGGACCAGGUAAAUAACUUUCUCGCAGCCCAGCCCAUUAACCCUAAUCGCCGUAUUUGUAAAACUAAAGCUAAGGCUUUCUCAUCCUCUCAGUAACCCUAAUUGCCAUCUCCCCCAUUUUUUUCUGCAUGGCGAUUUUCUUUGUCUCCCCCAAAUCUUCCCGCAAAACGCCUCCGAUGAAAGGGCUGGAACUUCAAUGUUCUCCCUUAAAGCCUCCAUUCAAGAUCCUUACCGACCUUCCAUAUCUCCCCUCCGCCUUGUAUCUAGAUCCAUAUUUAUACCCUUAUCUCUCUUACCUCAGAUCAUACCCUUAUCUCUCUUACCUCAGAUCGUUAGCUCUAUAUCCUAAUCAUGGCGAAAGAAAGUGGCCGCUCUACAAGACUAUUCACAAUAUACCUCGCAGACGUCUACGUCUUAUCUUAUUUUAAUUCUUUUUCG